GACCAGACUCCUACGGGAGGCAGCAGUGGGGAAUAUUGGGCAAUGGGCGCAAGCCUGACCCAGCAAUGCCGCGUGAAGGAAGAAGGCCUUCGGGUUGUAAACUUCUUUUAUCAGGGACGAAGGAUGUGACGGUACCUGAUGAAUAAGCUCCGGCUAACUACGUGCCAGCAGCCGCGGUAAUACGUAGGGAGCAAGCGUUAUCCGGAUUUAUUGGGUGUAAAGGGCGUGUAGGCGGGAAUGCAAGUCAGAUGUGAAAACUCAGGGCUCAACCCUGAGCCUGCAUUUGAAACUGUAUUUCUUGAGUGCUGGAGAGGCAAUCGGAAUUCCGUGUGUAGCGGUGAGAUGCGUAGAUAUACGGAGGAACACCAGUGGCGAAGGCGGAUUGCUGGACAGUAACUGACGCUGAGGCGCGAAAGCGUGGGGAGCAAACAGGAUUAGAUACCCUUGUAA
rnacentral:rRNA from 1 species